UACGUAGGGGGCAAGCGUUGUCCGGAAUGAUUGGGCGUAAAGGGCGCGUAGGCGGCUUGGUAAGUCUGGAGUGAAAGUCCUGCCUUCAAGGUGGGAAUUGCUUUGGAUACUGCGAAGCUUGAGUGCAGGAGAGGUCAGUGGAAUUCCCAGUGUAGCGGUGAAAUGCGUAGAGAUUGGGAGGAACACCAGUGGCGAAGGCGACUGACUGGACUGUAACUGACGCUGAGGCGCGAAAGUGUGGGGAGCAAAC
rnacentral:rRNA from 1 species